rnacentral:rRNA from 1 species
UACGUAGGGUGCAAGCGUUGUUCGGAAUCAUUGGGCGUAAAGCGCGUGUAGGCUGUUAGUUAAGUCGGAUGUGAAAUCCCUGGGCUCAACCGAGGAAGUGCAUUCGAAACUAGCUGACUAGAGAAUGGUAGAGGAAGGUGGAAUUCCAAGUGUAGAGGUGAAAUUCGUAGAUAUUUGGAGGAAUACCGGUGGCGAAGGCGGCCUUCUGGGCCAUUUCUGACGCUGAGACGCGAAAGCGUGGGGAGCAAACAGG